UCUCUAAUCUUUGCAUUUGGUGCUGUAAAUUCCCCUCUCAGCACUGAUUUAGCUGUGUCCCACAAAUUUUGAUAUGUUGUAUUUUCAUUUUAAAUCAUUU